rnacentral:rRNA from 1 species
AUGACGUACUUGUACUGAUUGAGAUUUUAACACGAAGUGAGUGGCGAACGGGUGAGUAACACGUGGGUAACCUGCCCAGAAGUAGGGGAUAACACCUGGAAACAGAUGCUAAUACCGUAUAACAGAGAAAACCGCAUGGUUUUCUUUUAAAAGAUGGCUCUGCUAUCACUUCUGGAUGGACCCGCGGCGUAUUAGCUAGUUGGUGAGGUAAAGGCUCACCAAGGCAGUGAUACGUAGCCGACCUGAGAGGGUAAUCGGCCACAUUGGGACUGAGACACGGCCCAGACUCCUACGGGAGGCAGCAGUAGGGAAUCUUCCACAAUGGACGCAAGUCUGAUGGAGCAACGCCGCGUGAGUGAAGAAGGGUUUCGGCUCGUAAAGCUCUGUUGUUAAAGAAGAACGUGGGUAAGAGUAACUGUUUACCCAGUGACGGUAUUUAACCAGAAAGCCACGGCUAACUACGUGCCAGCAGCCGCGGUAAUACGUAGGUGGCAAGCGUUAUCCGGAUUUAUUGGGCGUAAAGCGAGCGCAGGCGGUCUUUUAAGUCUAAUGUGAAAGCCUUCGGCUCAACCGAAGAAGUGCAUUGGAAACUGGGAGACUUGAGUGCAGAAGAGGACAGUGGAACUCCAUGUGUAGCGGUGAAAUGCGUAGAUAUAUGGAAGAACACCAGUGGCGAAGGCGGCUGUCUGGUCUGCAACUGACGCUGAGGCUCGAAAGCAUGGGUAGCGAACAGGAUUAGAUACCCUGGUAGUCCAUGCCGUAAACGAUGAUUACUAAGUGUUGGAGGGUUUCCGCCCUUCAGUGCUGCAGCUAACGCAUUAAGUAAUCCGCCUGGGGAGUACGACCGCAAGGUUGAAACUCAAAAGAAUUGACGGGGGCCCGCACAAGCGGUGGAGCAUGUGGUUUAAUUCGAAGCUACGCGAAGAACCUUACCAGGUCUUGACAUCUUCUGACAGUCUAAGAGAUUAGAGGUUCCCUUCGGGGACAGAAUGACAGGUGGUGCAUGGUUGUCGUCAGCUCGUGUCGUGAGAUGUUGGGUUAAGUCCCGCAACGAGCGCAACCCUUAUUACUAGUUGCCAGCAUUAAGUUGGGCACUCUAGUGAGACUGCCGGUGACAAACCGGAGGAAGGUGGGGACGACGUCAAAUCAUCAUGCCCCUUAUGACCUGGGCUACACACGUGCUACAAUGGAUGGUACAACGAGUCGCGAGACCGCGAGGUUAAGCUAAUCUCUUAAAACCAUUCUCAGUUCGGACUGUAGGCUGCAACUCGCCUACACGAAGUCGGAAUCGCUAGUAAUCGCGGAUCAGCAUGCCGCGGUGAAUACGUUCCCGGGCCUUGUACACACCGCCCGUCACACCAUGAGAGUUUGUAACACCCAA